AAGCGUUGUCCGGAAUUAUUGGGCGUAAAGAGCUCGCAGGCGGUUUGUCGCGUCUGCUGUGAAAACCUAAGGCUCAACCUUGGGCUUGCAGUGGGUACGGGCAGACUAGAGUGCGGUAGGGGUGACUGGAAUUCCUGGUGUAGCGGUGGAAUGCGCAGAUAUCAGGAGGAACACCGAUGGCGAAGGCAGGUCACUGGGCCGCAACUGACGCUGAGGAGCGAAAGCAUGGGGAGCGAACAGG
rnacentral:rRNA from 1 species